GAGAGUUUGAUCCUGGCUCAGGACGAACGCUGGCGGCGUGCUUAACACAUGCAAGUCGAACGGGAACCUUUAUUUCGGUAAAGGUGAGAGUGGCAAACGGGUGAGUAACACGUAGGCAACCUGCCGACAGGAUGGGGACAACAUUCCGAAAGGAAUGCUAAUACCGAAUGGAGUCCGGAGAUGGCAUCAUCUCCGGAUAAAAGAUGGCCUCUGAAUAUGCUAUCGCCUGUCGAUGGGCCUGCGUCUGAUUAGCCAGUUGGCGGGGUAACGGCCCACCAAAGCGACGAUCAGUAGCCGGUCUGAGAGGAUGAACGGCCACAUUGGGACUGAGACACGGCCCAGACUCCUACGGGAGGCAGCAGUGGGGAAUCUUCCACAAUGGGC
rnacentral:rRNA from 1 species